rnacentral:rRNA from 1 species
GACGAACGCUGGCGGCGUGCUUAACACAUGCAAGUCGAACGAUGAAGCCGGAGCUUGCUCUGGUGAAUUAGUGGCGAAUGGGUGAGUAACACGUGAGUAACCUGCCCUUGACUCUGGGAUAACUGCUAGAAAUGGUAGCUAAUACCGGAUACGACCCUCGGAGGCAACUCCAGGGGGUGGAAAGAAUUUCGGUCAAGGAUGGACUCGCGGCCUAUCAGCUAGUUGGUGAGGUAAUGGCUCACCAAGGCGACGACGGGUAGCCGGCCUGAGAGGGUGACCGGCCACACUGGGACUGAGACACGGCCCAGACUCCUACGGGAGGCAGCAGUGGGGAAUAUUGCACAAUGGGCGCAAGCCUGAUGCAGCAACGCCGCGUGAGGGAUGACGGCCUUCGGGUUGUAAACCUCUUUUAGUAGGGAAGAAGCGAAAGUGACGGUACCUGCAGAAAAAGCACCGGCUAACUACGUGCCAGCAGCCGCAGUAA